rnacentral:sRNA from 1 species
CCAAUAUCUCUAGAGGCUAGAGUCUGUUGUUUACACACAGAAUAAAGACCUCGGAGAAAAAAACAGCACAAGCUUCCCAUGGCAACUUUCCUUGAAGCUGUCUCUGAAAGACCACCUCAAGGGGUGACAGAGCAUUUCAGUUUCUGUGGCUCAUUCAAUCUUGUGGCUUUC